AAAAUUCUGCAGCACACCAAAAAAAUAUACAUUUUUUACUGAUCUGACAAAAAAAAUAGUUAUCAUUUUGAUUCAUUCACAUUGGAUGGCUAUCGUUGUAUUGGCUAUUGUCAUGUUUUAAAUUUGACAAUGUAAGGGAAAAGAGGUCACUGCCCCUGACUAAAUAGUCAGGUCCUGCAUGUUUUAAAAAUUCUUGCAGCCCACCAGUU